GUAGUCGGAUUCGCAUCAAUCCACAUGUAUUGGGGUGGGUUGGAGUAGAACUUGAACUAAAUUAUACCUCAAUCCACUUCAACACAUGUGAAUUGAUGUGAAUCCAACA
rfam:Sorghum bicolor cultivar BTx623 chromosome 1, whole genome shotgun sequence.